rnacentral:rRNA from 1 species
AUUGAACGCUGGCGGAAUGCUUUACACAUGCAAGUCGAACGGCAGCACGGACUUCGGUCUGGUGGCGAGUGGCGAACGGGUGAGUAAUGUAUCGGAACGUGCCCAGUCGUGGGGGAUAACGUAGUGAAAAUUACGCUAAUACCGCAUACGAUCUAUGGAUGAAAGCGGGGGAUCGCAAGACCUCGCGCGAUUGGAGCGGCCGAUAUCAGAUUAGGUAGUUGGUGGGGUAAGGCCCACCAAGCCAACGAUCUGUAGGUGGUCUGGAAGGACGACCAGCCACACUGGAACUGAGACACGGUCCAGACUCCUACGGGAGGCAGCAGUGGGGAAUUUUGGACAAUGGGCGAAAGCCUGAUCCAGCCAUUCCGCGUGCAGGAUGAAGGCCCUCGGGUUGUAAACUGCUUUUGUACAGAACGAAAAGGUUUCUACUAAUACUAGGAGCUCAUGACGGUACUGUAAGAAUAAGCACCGGCUAACUACGUGCCAGCCGCCGCAGUAA